rnacentral:rRNA from 1 species
AUUGAACGCUGGCGGCAGGCCUAACACAUGCAAGUCGAGCGAGCGGCGGACGGGUGAGUAAUGUAUGGGGACUUCCCGAUAGAGGUGGAUAACUACUGGAAACGGUAGCUAAUACCGCGUACUAUCGUCUUUCCCAUAUGGGAUUAGCUAGUAGGUGAGGUAAUGGCUCACCUAGGAGACGAUCCCUAGCUGGUCUGAGAGGAUGAUCAGCCACACUGGGACUGAGAAACGGCCCAGACUCCUACGGAGGCAGCAGUGGGGAAUAUUGCACAAUGGGCGAAAGCCUGAUGCAGCAAGGCCGCGUGUAUGAAGAAGGUCCUAGGGUUGUAAAGUACGUUCAGUAGGGAGGCGUUACCUACAGAAGAAGCACCGGCUAACUCCGUGCCAGCAGCCGCGGUAAUAC